UCCCUGGUAGUCCAGUGGUUAAAACUCUGUGCUUCCAAUGCAGGGGGUGCGGGUUCGAUCCCUGGUUGGGGAA
rnacentral:tRNA from 1 species